AAACUUCUUUUGCUGUGAAGAAUUUCUCUGAUCAAAACUUUGUCUAAUAGAUGAGGGCUAACCAUAAGGAUCCUCAAUGAUUAAUAACCAAUCUUCGAUGACUUGGAGGUGGGGUUAAUUUACAAGACCCCAUCAGAGCCGAAGUCGGGCAAGAAGCGGAGGGCGACCCCAAGGAACCUACGAUGGGCUAAUUUCUAAGAUCUUCAGUU
rnacentral:lncRNA from 1 species